rnacentral:rRNA from 1 species
UACGAAGGGGGGCUAGCGUUGUUCGGAAUUACUGGGCGUAAAGCGCGCGCAGGCGGCUAUCCAAGUCAGUGGUGAAAGCCCGGAGCUCAACUCCGGAACUGCCAUUGAAACUGUUUAGCUUGAGGACGAGAGAGGUGAGUGGAAUUCCCAGUGUAGAGGUGAAAUUCGUAGAUAUCGGGAGGAACACCAGUGGCGAAGGCGACUACCUGGCCUGUUCUUGACGCUGAGGCGCGAAAGCUAGGGGAGCAAACGGG